AACUUCGAUCCAAGCGGUUUAUGUACCUGCGGACGAUUUGACUGACCCUGCUCCUGCCACAACAUUUGCCCAUUUGGAUGCUACUACCGUACUUUCCAGAGGAUUAGCUUCCAAGGGUAUUUAUCCAGCAGUAGAUCCUUUAGAUUCAACCUCAACUAUGUUAUAGCCUCGGAUCGUUGAAUCUAAAGGAUCUACUGCUGGAUAAAUACCCUUGGAAGCUAAUCCUUUGGAAAGUACGGUAGUAGCAUCCAAAUGGGCAAAUGUUGUGGCAGGAGCAGGGUCAGUCAAAUCGUCCGCAGGUACAUAAACCGCUUGGAUCGAAGUUAUAGAUCCCUUUUUAGUAGAAGCAAUUAUUU